rnacentral:lncRNA from 1 species
GUCCUCUUUUAAUAAGGUUUGGAGCUCCUAACAAUUAGGAGCUCCAAGACAAUUUUCCAAAGAGGGGGCGCCGGCCCCCUCUUCUUCAUGUCGCCCUAGCCAUGUGAGAGGGGCUGAUUUCCCUCUUACUUGGUUAACCUAAUCCUCUUCCAAAGAGGAUUAGGUGCCUCUCUCAUGGUUUAAUCCCAAACCAAUUAGGAUUAGCCAAUUAGGUUCAAUCUAUGCUAGUCCUAAUCCAAUUAGGACUUGAAUGAAUCAUGACUCAAUUGAACUCUUCAAUCCUA